UACAGAGGUCCCAAGCGUUGUUCGGAUUCAUUGGGCGUAAAGGGGUGUGUAGGUGGCGCCGUAAGUCGGGUUGUGAAAAUUUCGGAGCUUAAACUCCGAAACUGCAUUCGAUACUGCGGUGCUUGAGGACUGGAGAGGAGACUGGAAAUUCAUGGGUGUAGCAGUGAAAUGCGUAGAGAUCAUGAGGAAGACCAGUGGCGAAAGGCGGGGUC
rnacentral:rRNA from 1 species